GCACAGCUCGCAGUGCCGUGCUCCGCAGGGAGGGCUCGGGCCAUCAGGGCCCAACCCCGCAGCUUCAGGAAACUUCACCUGCAGCUUUGCAAAGCCUCCUCUAUCCCGAGCCCUACCAGACCAGCUCCCGAAAUACAGGCUUGAUAAAAUCGUGCCCCAUGGUUUGGUUCCCCUCAGGUGGAACAGAGUAGAUAAUUUACAGGUUGACAGGAUGAAACUGGCAGGAAAUUGAUGAAACCAGGCCGAACUGUCCUGGCUUUUGUCCUGCUGUAAGCACUCUUCAGCUCCUUGUGGCUGGACAACAGCAAUGGGAAGGUUCCAGGGAAGGAAGCUGCCCUUUUGUUCCCAAGGACAAGGGCAGGAGCCCUUUCCUCCAGUAAUAUUUACUCGAUGGAGGCAGACCAGUCGAUUCCUGCUGCAAGCAGACAUGGAAGUGUUCCUCUUGUGCUCGGAGAUCUGAAGUCAGUGAGCACGGUGCUGAGGCAAGCUGCAAACUCCAAAGCUAGACCUCCUCCACGUUGGAGAUGUGGGACAGAAAGCCUUGUACAUGCAUCCUUUAUGGCUUCUGCUGCUUCUAAGCUCCUUCUGGAACUUCUUGACUUCAGCUUCACAGCAUGACUUGUUUCUUCCUCAUAAGAAUAUGGAUAGGGAGAGCUGAAAAGUUCUGCG
rnacentral:lncRNA from 1 species